GACGGAGGAUGCAAGCGUUAUCCGGAAUGAUUGGGCGUAAAGCGUCCGCAGGUGGCAGUUCAAGUCUGCUGUCAAAGACCGGGGCUUAACUUCGGAAAGGCAGUGGAAACUGAACAGCUAGAGUAUGGUAGGGGCAGAGGGAAUUCCUGGUGUAGCGGUGAAAUGCGUAGAGAUCAGGAAGAACACCAAUGGCGAAAGCAGCUUUCUGGGACGGUACUGACGCUGAGACGCGAAAGCGUGGGGAGCGAACAGG
rnacentral:rRNA from 1 species